UGGUUUGUGAAAUAAAUAAAGUAAUUAUGGUUUUCAUAUGAGAUUAUGAAAAUGAAUUUCUAUCCCUCGCAGUAGCGUGUUUUUAAAGAAAAUUAUUUUCGUGUAGGAAAUAGUUUUAAAAAAAAUUUUCUUGAUUUUCAUGAUUCUUAGUGCUUUAAAAUGAGUUUCUUGGGAGAAACGUUUUAAACUAAUAGAUGUGAAAUUCUAAUUAUCUGUGAUGGAAUGAAUGAUAAUUGUGAUGUGGUAAAUGUAUGUGGGUAUUCAUACUAUUCUGGUUGUAUCUUGUACUUGUGCCACUCCGUACAAAUACAGGGAAGACUCUGUCCGUGUGAACAAUAGAUUUCAUGUAUUUGUAGCGGAUCUGACAUCCUCUAGGGUCAAGGUUUAAAAAAAAAAA
rnacentral:lncRNA from 1 species